GCCCUCGCAUUAAAGAGCUUGCGAGCCUAGUUAGUAUUUUGGUCCCUUGCUUGAGCAGUUAUAAUUAUAGCACGUCGAGAACAGCGAAGAAAAGACAGGCGUAUUGCAGUGCAUCAUGGCAGGUCUAUAAGCGUUUCUACAUACAGUCUGUUCCCGAGUUAGGCGGUUUUUGCGUUCCCGAAGAAUCCGCGCGAAUUUUAAGAACAAAACGAGACAAAAUACGAAAACAAGCUUGAAAUUGUCCCGAAUUGAAUUCUAUCUACUGUAGCUGAGAAGCGUUUGACAGCCAAGGUAUUCAAAGCACAGUGCACCUCCAUAUGAUCAUAUGGGUUUGUUCGUGUCG